rnacentral:rRNA from 1 species
GGGCAUACUAGAUAGCCAUGCAUGUCUAAGUAUAAAUAGUAUACAGUGAAACUGCGAAUGGCUCAUUAAAACAGUUAUAGUUUAUUUGAUAAUUGAAUUCUACAUGGAUAACCGUGGUAAAUCUAGAGCUAAUACAUGCUGCAAAACCUGACUUUUUGGAAAGGUUGUAUUUAUUAGAUAUCAAACCAAUAUUCCUUCGGGUCUAUUGUGAUGAUUCAUAAUAACUGAUCGAAGCGCGGCUAGGCCGUGCUAAAUCAUUCAAGUUUCUGCCCUAUCAGCUUUCGAUGGUAGUGUAUUGGACUACCAUGGCUAUCACGGGUAACGGAGAAUUAGGGUUCGAUUCCGGAGAGGGAGCCUGAGAAACGGCUACCACAUCUAAGGAAGGCAGCAGGCGCGUAAAUUACCCAAUCCUGAUUCAGGGAGGUAGUGACAAGAAAUAACAACUCGGGGGCUCACGCCUUACGAGAUUGCAAUGGGUACAAUUUAAACCGCUUAACGAGGAACAAUUGGAGGGCAAGUCUGGUCCCCCCGUGCCCCCGCCCCGCCCGGGGCGCGCCCCGGGCGGGGCGGGGGCACGGUGGAUCUGAUUUGCUUUUUAUUGUUCCUCGUUAAGCGGAUUUAUCCACUCAUUGCUAUUUGUAUGCGUUUUCUCUUGAGUUGUUUUUUUUUCAUCUAUUUUAUCAAGGGUAUUAAUUCCAUUCAAUACUAAAUUUAAUAUCUUUUACUGGUCCUCAAAGUGUCCUCUUCU